GCCUACCAAACCUUGCUGAGACUAGCAAAAAAUCCAGAGCCCUUUAUUAUGUGAUCUGUGUGGCAGGAGCAGGAGUGAUGCUAAAAAUGGGGGACAGACAAUAAAGCGACCAUAAAAAACAUAGACACGGCGGAAGGAAACUUACUUCCUUGUUUGGCACUUCAUGAGCAAUUAUUUGUUUAGGAUGGAACAUCAAAUUCAAGAGCUUUCACAAGUAUUUCCAAGGGGACAAAACAA